rnacentral:rRNA from 1 species
UGAACGCUGGCGGUAGGCCUAACACAUGCAAGUCGAACGGCAGCACAGUAAGAGCUUGCUCUUACGGGUGGCGAGUGGCGGACGGGUGAGGAAUACAUCGGAAUCUACUUUUUCGUGGGGGAUAACGUAGGGAAACUUACGCUAAUACCGCAUACGACCUACGGGUGAAAGCAGGGGAUCUUCGGACCUUGCGCGAUUGAAUGAGCCGAUGUCGGAUUAGCUAGUUGGCGGGGUAAAGGCCCACCAAGGCGACGAUCCGUAGCUGGUCUGAGAGGAUGAUCAGCCACACUGGAACUGAGACACGGUCCAGACUCCUACGGGAGGCAGCAGUGGGGAAUAUUGGACAAUGGGCGCAAGCUUGAUCCAGCCAUACCGCGUGGGUGAAGAAGGCCUUCGGGUUGUAAAGCCCUUUUGUUGGGAAAGAAAAGCAGCAGGUUAAUACCCCGCUGUUCUGACGGUACCCAAAGAAUAAGCACCGGCUAACUUCGUG